rnacentral:rRNA from 1 species
UUAAGCGACUAAGCGUACACGGUGGAUGCCCUGGCAGUCAGAGGCGAUGAAGGACGUGCUAAUCUGCGAUAAGCGUCGGUGAGGUGAUAUGAACCGUUAUAACCGGCGAUUUCCGAAUGGGGAAACCCAGUGUGUUUCGACACACUAUCAUUAACUGAAUCCAUAGGUUAAUGAGGCGAACCGGGGGAACUGAAACAUCUAAGUACCCCGAGGAAAAGAAAUCAACCGAGAUUCCCCCAGUAGCGGCGAGCGAACGGGGAGGAGCCCAGAGCCUGAAUCAGUGUGUGUGUUAGUGGAAGCGUCUGGAAAGGCGCGCGAUACAGGGUGACAGCCCCGUACACAAAAAUGCACAUAUUGUGAGCUCGAUGAGUAGGGCGGGACACGUGGUAUCCUGUCUGAAUAUGGGGGGACCAUCCUCCAAGGCUAAAUACUCCUGACUGACGAUAGUGAACCAGUACCGUGAGGGAAAGGCGAAAAGAACCCCGGCGAGGGGAGUGAAAAAGAACCUGAAACCGUGUACGUACAAGCAGUGGGAGCCUCUUAAUGGGGUGACUGCGUACCUUUUGUAUAAUGGGUCAGCGACUUAUAUUCUGUAGCAAGGUUAACCGAAUAGGGGAGCCGAAGGGAAACCGAGUCUUAACUGGGCGUUAAGUUGCAGGGUAUAGACCCGAAACCCGGUGAUCUAGCCAUGGGCAGGUUGAAGGUUGGGUAACACUAACUGGAGGACCGAACCGACUAAUGUUGAAAAAUUAGCGGAUGACUUGUGGCUGGGGGUGAAAGGCCAAUCAAACCGGGAGAUAGCUGGUUCUCCCCGAAAGCUAUUUAGGUAGCGCCUCGUGAAUUCAUCUCCGGGGGUAGAGCACUGUUUCGGCAAGGGGGUCAUCCCGACUUACCAACCCGAUGCAAACUGCGAAUACCGGAGAAUGUUAUCACGGGAGACACACGGCGGGUGCUAACGUCCGUCGUGAAGAGGGAAACAACCCAGACCGCCAGCUAAGGUCCCAAAGUCAUGGUUAAGUGGGAAACGAUGUGGGAAGGCCCAGACAGCCAGGAUGUUGGCUUAGAAGCAGCCAUCAUUUAAAGAAAGCGUAAUAGCUCACUGGUCGAGUCGGCCUGCGCGGAAGAUGUAACGGGGCUAAACCAUGCACCGAAGCUGCGGCAGCGACACUAUGUGUUGUUGGGUAGGGGAGCGUUCUGUAAGCCUGUGAAGGUGUACUGUGAGGUAUGCUGGAGGUAUCAGAAGUGCGAAUGCUGACAUAAGUAACGAUAAAGCGGGUGAAAAGCCCGCUCGCCGGAAGACCAAGGGUUCCUGUCCAACGUUAAUCGGGGCAGGGUGAGUCGACCCCUAAGGCGAGGCCGAAAGGCGUAGUCGAUGGGAAACAGGUUAAUAUUCCUGUACUUGGUGUUACUGCGAAGGGGGGACGGAGAAGGCUAUGUUGGCCGGGCGACGGUUGUCCCGGUUUAAGCGUGUAGGCUGGUUUUCCAGGCAAAUCCGGAAAAUCAAGGCUGAGGCGUGAUGACGAGGCACUACGGUGCUGAAGCGACAAAUGCCCUGCUUCCAGGAAAAGCCUCUAAGCAUCAGGUAACAUCAAAUCGUACCCCAAACCGACACAGGUGGUCAGGUAGAGAAUACCAAGGCGCUUGAGAGAACUCGGGUGAAGGAACUAGGCAAAAUGGUGCCGUAACUUCGGGAGAAGGCACGCUGAUAUGUAGGUGAAGCGACUUGCUCGUGGAGCUGAAAUCAGUCGAAGAUACCAGCUGGCUGCAACUGUUUAUUAAAAACACAGCACUGUGCAAACACGAAAGUGGACGUAUACGGUGUGACGCCUGCCCGGUGCCGGAAGGUUAAUUGAUGGGGUUAGCGGUAACGCGAAGCUCUUGAUCGAAGCCCCGGUAAACGGCGGCCGUAACUAUAACGGUCCUAAGGUAGCGAAAUUCCUUGUCGGGUAAGUUCCGACCUGCACGAAUGGCGUAAUGAUGGCCAGGCUGUCUCCACCCGAGACUCAGUGAAAUUGAACUCGCUGUGAAGAUGCAGUGUACCCGCGGCAAGACGGAAAGACCCCGUGAACCUUUACUAUAGCUUGACACUGAACAUUGAGCCUUGAUGUGUAGGAUAGGUGGGAGGCUUUGAAGUGUGGACGCCAGUCUGCAUGGAGCCGACCUUGAAAUACCACCCUUUAAUGUUUGAUGUUCUAACGUGGGCCCCUUACCGGGGUUGCGGACAGUGUCUGGUGGGUAGUUUGACUGGGGCGGUCUCCUCCUAAAGAGUAACGGAGGAGCACGAAGGUUGGCUAAUCCUGGUCGGACAUCAGGAGGUUAGUGCAAUGGCAUAAGCCAGCUUGACUGCGAGCGUGACGGCGCGAGCAGGUGCGAAAGCAGGUCAUAGUGAUCCGGUGGUUCUGAAUGGAAGGGCCAUCGCUCAACGGAUAAAAGGUACUCCGGGGAUAACAGGCUGAUACCGCCCAAGAGUUCAUAUCGACGGCGGUGUUUGGCACCUCGAUGUCGGCUCAUCACAUCCUGGGGCUGAAGUAGGUCCCAAGGGUAUGGCUGUUCGCCAUUUAAAGUGGUACGCGAGCUGGGUUUAGAACGUCGUGAGACAGUUCGGUCCCUAUCUGCCGUGGGCGCUGGAGAACUGAGGGGGGCUGCUCCUAGUACGAGAGGACCGGAGUGGACGCAUCACUGGUGUUCGGGUUGUCAUGCCAAUGGCACUGCCCGGUAGCUAAAUGCGGAAGAGAUAAGUGCUGAAAGCAUCUAAGCACGAAACUUGCCCGAGAUGAGUUCUCCCUGACUCCUUGAGAGUCCUGAAGGAACGUUGAAGACGACGACGUUGAUAGGCCGGGUGUGUAAGCGCAGCGAUGCGUUGAGCUAACCGGUACUAAUGAACCGUGAGGCUUAACCUU